GACCACGAUCCAACCCUAAAUACUAAUACCAGAUCGAUAGUGCACAAGUACCGUGAGGGAAAGGUGAAAAGAACUGAGGUGAUCAGAGUGAAAUAGAACCUGAAACCAUUUGCUUACAAUCAUUCAGAGCCCUAUGUAGCAAUACAGGGUGAUGGACUGCCUUUUGCAUAAUGAGCCUGCGAGUUGUGGUGUCUGGCAAGGUUAAGCAAACGCGAAGCCGUAGCGAAAGCGAGUCUGAAUAGGGCGCUUAGUCAGAUGCUGCAGACCCGAAACGAAGUGAUCUAUCCAUGAGCAAGUUGAAGCUAGUGUAAGAACUAGUGGAGGACUGAACCCAUAGGCGUUGAAAAGCCCCGGGAUGACUUGUGGAUAGGGGUGAAAGGCCAAUCAAACUUCGUGAUAGCUGGUUCUCUCCGAAAUAUAUUUAGGUAUAGCGUUGUGUCGUAAUAUAAGGGGGUAGAGCACUGAAUGGGCUAGGGCAUACACCAAUGUACCAAACCCUAUCAAACUCCGAAUACCUUAUAUGUAAUCACAGCAGUCAGGCGGCGAGUGAUAAAAUCCGUCGUCAAGAGGGAAACAACCCAGACUACCAGCUAAGGUCCCUAAAUCUUACUUAAGUGGAAAACGAUGUGAAGUUACUUAAACAACCAGGAGGUUGGCUUAGAAGCAGCCAUCCUUUAAAGAAAGCGUAAUAGCUCACUGGUCUAGUGAUUUUGCGCGGAAAAUA
rnacentral:rRNA from 1 species